GACGAACGCUGGCGGCGUGCUUAACACAUGCAAGUCGAACGGUAAGGCCCUUCGGGGUACACAAGUGGCGAACGGGUGAGUAACACGUGGGUGAUCUGCCCUGCACUUCGGGAUAAGCCUGGGAAACUGGGUCUAAUACCGGAUAGGACUCCGGACUGCAUGGUCUGGGGUGGAAAGCUUCUGCGGUGUGGGAUGGGCCCGCGGCCUAUCAGCUUGUUGGUGGGGUGAUGGCCUACCAAGGCGACGACGGGUAGCCGGCCUGAGAGGGUGACCGGCCACACUGGGAGUGAGGUACGGCCCAGACACCUACGGGAGGCAGCAGUGGGGAAUAUUGCACAAUGGGCGCAAGCCUGAUGCAGCGACGCCGCGUGAGGGAUGACGGCCUUCGGGUUGUAAACCUCUUUCAGCAUCGACGAAGCGAAAGUGACGGUAGGUGUAGAAGAAGGACCGGCCAACUACGUGCCAGCCGCCGCGGUAA
rnacentral:rRNA from 1 species